AGCACAGAGCGCGACAUGGGGCUCGAACUCACAGACCGUGAGAUCAUGACCUGAGCCGAAGUCAGACACUCAACCGACUGAGCCACCCAGACGCCCCUCGUUCUUUGUUUUUAAACACUUUUGUAAGACUUUGUGGUGGGGAGCUGCACUGUGAUUUAUUAAACCAGUCUCCCGUCAAUGGGCUUUAAUGCUGGUCCCAGUCUUUUCUAAUUACAAACAGUUCGACAGGUGAAUAAUCUUGUACAUGUUCCAUUUCCAGUGUGUGCAAUCAGUCUGUAAGAUUGAUUUCCGGAAGUGGAAUCGCCAGCUCAAAGGCCGUGUGGAUGUGUCACUUGGUUCAGUAUUCCCAAAUUUCCUCCUAGAGCAGCUGAAGAUGAUCUAGAAUGUGUACCUACAUUUUCUCUUACAGUUUUUAUGGUUUCUUUUCCUCAAUUUUUUUUAAAUGAGCUAUUUGCAUGUAAUGAAAGGCACAGAUUUUGAGUGCACUAUUCAAUGAGCUUUCGCAAGUAUAUGUACCUGUGUGGCCACCAGUCCAUCGAAAUCUAGAACAUUUCCAUUGCCAGCAAAAGUGCCCCUCCCUCCUUAGGCAACCGCUGUUCUGAUUUCUGAGAUUUGCCGGUUCCAGAACGUCAUCCACAUGGGAUCACACAGUGUAUCCUCUUUUGAGUCUGGCUUCUUUUGUUCAUCAUAUUUUUGAGGUUCUUUGUGUUGCUGUGCAUUUUAUUAUAUGAUUUGUAUUGGUUUUCUAUUGCCCCCAUACCAAAUGCCACAGACUUAGUGGCCACAUAAGUGAGUUGUGUCACAGUCUAUGGGUCCGAAGUCUGGGUCAGCUUGGCUGAGGUCAGGGUGUUGGCUGGCUGGGCUCUUACAGGAAGGUCUGCAGAGAAGCGCCUUCUAGGCUCAUUCACGUUGCAGGCAGGAUCAGUUCUUGCAGCUGUAGUGUUGAGGGCCCUGUGUCCUCACUGACUGUCACCCAGGGGCCUCGUCAGGUUCCCGGGCCACCUACCUUCCCCUUGACGUUGCCUUCUCUCCACCAGCAAGGCAGUCAGUGAUGGGACCGGGCUUUCCCUAGUUCCACGUCACGUGCCACAUCUCUCCCGCCUUCUUCCCUGGCAUCUUCCUGACUCCAGCCAGAGAGGUUUUCUGCUUGUAAGGGUCCAGUGAUUAGGCUGGGCUCACCCAGAUCAUCCAGGAUGAUAUCCUUGUCUAAAGGCCUGUAAUCUUAACUACGUACACAAAGUCCCUUUUGCAUUCACGGGUUCUGGGGAUUGGGGCGCGGGCAGAUUUGGCGGGGGUGUGUGUGUCCAUUGUUUAGCCUAGCACACGGUAUGAGUUAGAAAAUUAACUUCUUUUCCAGAUGGUCAGCCAGUUGUACCAAAGUGAUUCAUUCUUUUCCUAUCUAUUAACAAUCCGUCCCUGUCACACAUGGAGUUCUUUGAUAGUAGUAUAUAUUUGUUUCUGGGUAUUCUAUUUUGUCCCACCCAUCUGCCUACUCCCAUGUUAGCAUCCUCCUUUAAAAAUCAGACAGGUUUUGUAAAUAUAUUUUAAAAUGUUAGAGAUUUUCUCUUGAUCCUUUUUUCUCUUUUUCCUGUAGAAUAUAUUUCUACUUGGCACAUCCCUGACGGUCACACAUGAUCCAUUGUCAGGCUUCUGUGUGUUUCCCCAAAUUGGCUACUUUAUACCGUUCGAUUCAGUGCCAUCAGAAUGGAUCCUCAGGGGCGAGGCUGUGUGUGUGUGUGUGUGUGUGUGUGUGUGUGUGUGUGUGUGUGUCUGGAAGAUAAUACAACGUUAUAUCCAUUUGUGUUUGAAACUAGAGCUUUCUAUAUUUCUUUAAAAUUUUUUUUAAUGUUUAUUUUUGAGAGAGACAGAGCGCAAGUGGGGGAGGGGUAGAGAGAGGGGGAGACACAGAAUCUGAAGCAGGCUCUAGGCUCUGAGCUGUCAGCACAGAGCCUGACGCGGGGCCUGAACCCACAGACCGUGAGCUCAUGACCUAAGCUGAAGUCGGACGCAUAACCGACUGAGCCAUCCAGGGACCCCUAGAGCUCCUAUUUCUGUAACGCAAGGUUAAUUUUGACUAAAAGCUUUGGAGUUGACUCUUCCUGCCCUUUAGUCCCAUGGAGAGUGUCUGCCUCCUGAAUGGGCCUUACACUGGUUCAUUUCUCUCCAUCUUGCCUGCAGCCAGCAUGCUGGAGUUGGUUUUUGUUAAUCCCCAGCUCAAAAGCCUCUGGUGCUGUACUGUCCAGUGUGGUAGCCAUGGGUCACAGGUGGCUGUGUAAAUUAAGGUUAGUGAAGCUGAAACAAAAAAUUCAGUUCUUCUGUACCAGCCAUAUUUCAAAUGCGUAAUAGCCACAUGUGGCUGGUGGCCACUGUCUUAGUGCAAAACAGAACAUUCCCAUCAUCAUAGAAAGUUGGAGUGGACAGGGCUGCUUUCUCAAUCGUAUUUAAGAUGAAUUCUGGUAUCCUUGGUCGGCCUUCAUGAUCCCAGAUUAUUUAUCUCUUACAGCAAUUACCAAUUACUUCCCAGCCUCACUUCUGUCCCCACCCCCUGGCAGUUCUUGAACGAUGAAGCUCAGGGCCUUUGCAUAUACUGUUCCCCUGGCCCUAUUCUUCACUGGGCCAACUACUCACUUUUGGGGCUUGGCUUACAUGUCACUUGCCCUCCCCAUUCUAAAGUUAUAUUCUCAUUUUAUAAGCUUUCUUUUACCCUCUACUUUUCUACUUCAGAAGAACAAUCCGUUAGCUAUAAUAUUUGUGUGGUUAUUUAUUUUAUGUCCAUCUCUCUAACAGACAAUAAACUUCUUGCAGGUGAAAUAGUGGUUGCCCUUUCACCACGAAACCCCCGAUGCUCAGGACAGUGCCUCACCCAGGUUAAUUCCCUGUAAAUAUUAACAUUGGAGUAAUCUAAAGUUCUAGAUCCUCUUGAGAGGCACGAAUAUGUUGGGUGAGUAAGUGAAAAUUUCAUUAACAGAGGCGUAGCUUUAAAAGCAGUCAAGAGACCCCACAUAUUAGGGAGAUUGUUACUUAUUCACGUUUAGGAUGUAAAUUUCACAAGGGUGGUUUGGAGCUGAACUAGCCCAUUGGUUUUCGAGUCACCAUCCUGACUUUGGUGAACACAUAGUUGGGGGUAAUUGAGGCUAUAAAUUAAGGUGGAAGUCACUUAAAGUUGUUGGAUAAAGGGGAUUGGCUGGAUUAGGACAGCCCUGGGGUUUAUGGCAGGCCACUGAGCUGGGCUUUGGUGGGUUGGUGCAGGCUGGUGAGACGUCUGCGGGGUGGACACGGUGAUCUGGUCUUUCUUGUUCUAAUUAAACACCCAGGUAGGAAAAGCUUGCGUCCAGCACCUCAUACUUUUCCACAGGCCUUUUGAAAAAAAUGUGGGUGAGUUUCUCCAGAAAACCUCUACUCUUUCCCCAUCAGCAUUUACAAGCCUUCCCCCGGGGGGAGGGGGGGGGGGAAAGGAAAGAAAAGAGAAGAAAAGAAAAAAGAAAGAAGGGCAAAGAAAACAAACUGGAAUCUCCAGAAUGAGUUCUGACUUUGGAUUUCUAUCCCAGACUGUCUGUGGCCACCUUCUCUCCUGUGGGGAGUAGGAAGGAGUCAGUUUUAAGAACUGUUCCCCCUGGCCUUGGUUCGGAACUGUCUAUCCCCAGCAUUCCAGGGUGCGUCUUAAAUCAUUGACUGUCUUUGCAGGGUUUUUUGAAAGGAUUUUCAUAAAAAAGAAACAAAAAAACCCCACAAAAACCCGAGAACAAGAAAAGUGAAUUUGCUAUCAAGAUUUCUAGUGCUCAGAUGACGUAUGAAGACUUGCUGGUUUAAAAAAAUCUACCGCGGGCACUUGUAUUUUCUUCUUUCUACUUCCUUGGGUGUAGCCAGGCAGCCCAUGACACCUCCCCACAACUGGACCUUGAAUCCUGAUGGGGACACAGUGAAAAUGACUGCCAGCCAGCACCACAGCUGUGAGACUAUCUACUUUGGGCUUUCAUCACACCAAAAAAAAACCCUGGAAGUGAGGGCUCGGUGCCAGCCAAAUCAUCACAUGCCUUGGGGAUUGACUGGGUGCUGACCUUUGAGCCCCCGUCCUGGCCUUGCAGACUGUAGUUCAAGGUCACAUCACCUAGGUGUGCACUGUAGUGCCACGACUUUCUGUGUCACUGUGGCAAGUAGCUUAACUUCUCUCUGCUGCAGUGUCCCUGUGUGUCAAAUGGGGAUGCAGUCAUGACUCCCUCGUGGGUUUUCUUGUAAGAAUGAAAUGGCGUGAUUGAUGUCACGCACAUAGUAGGCACUUGGUACGUAUUAGCCAUCAACUGUAUGUCAUUACCAUUUGUACUUAAUGAUUUAUUCUAUAAACAGACUGCCCGGUUGCUUAAAAAAAGCAGACUCAACCACCAGGCCCUCUGUGUUCUAAGGAAGAGAUAUAAAGCAUUCUUCCCUAUCAUGAGACCGUGGCUGCUAACAAAUCCCAAUAAGAAGCCAAAAGCCGGGGCGGGGCGCCUGGGUGGCUCUGCCGGUCAAGCAUCUGACUCUCAGUUUCAGCUCAGGUCAUGAUCUCGCUCUUUCGUGAGUUCGAGCCCUGCCUUGGGCUCUGCGCUGACCGUGCGGAGCCUGCUUGGGAUUCUGUCUCUCUCUCCCGCUCUCUCUGCCCCUCCCCCACUCACGCUGUCUCUAUCUGUCUCAAAAUAAAUAAAUAAAAACUUAAAAAAAAAAAAAGAGGCAAAAAGCCUUCUGUGUGGCUGGCAAUCCCCCUAUUUCCUGUGACGUCAUUUUACCGAGAAAAAGCAGAAACAAGAGAAGGAAUACAUUUGACGUUUGCUCACCUAACAUUAAAAGCUCACUGUUGGUGGAAACAACCCGAAAAUUCUGACAUGAAUUGUUUUUAUUGUAUUUGUAAAUAAAGUGGAAAUGUUUUGUGUUUGAAUUCUUCAA